rnacentral:lncRNA from 1 species
UCUGUUUAUUAAAAUUAAUGACUAAACCUAAAUAUUAAGAUCUAUUUAUUUAUUAUCUCAAAUAUAAUGAUAAAUCACUGCUUAAAUCGCUGAGUUAUUUGGUAUUUAUUAAAAUUAAUAAAAAAGCCUAAAUUCCAUACAAUAUGAAAAAUUAACAAAAUCACUUCCUAAAUAAUAGUAUAGAUACAAUUAAAUUUUCACUCUGUAGAUUAUAUUAGUAAAAAGCGUUAAUUCCAACCUCAACCAUUUUUCGUCUUGACUUUUCCUACCUGAAUUUAGAUACCAUGCUUAUUUAAUCCCAACCUAAUAUUUAUUUUAAAUUAACUACAUGAACUAUCAAAAUCAAACCGAAAUCAACUCUGACCAAAAUAAUAUUGGUGAACGUAAAAUCCAAAAAAACUAAAAUAUUUGAAAUUCAAAAAUAAAACUAAACCCUUAAAAAUAAAAAUAAAACCCGAGAAAAAACUAUAAAUAUCCGAAACUCAAAAAUAUAGUUGAAACCUCGAGAAAAAUAAAAAUAAAAUUAAAGGAUAGAUUCAAAUGACUAGAAAUUUUAAAUAUAUUAAGUACCAAAAUAUACCCAAAAUAUGCCAAAAAAUCACGGAAAAAAAGCCAAAGACUUAAAAUAUACCUUGAUACCAAAAAAUAAGGAAUACAUUAGACUAUUCAUUUAUUGAUAGAGUAUAAAAGCCAUAUGUGAACCUAUUUCAUGUAUUCUCGAAUUUUUGGGUAGCUUUUAUGUUAUGGUUUCUAACCAAAAAGUGAUCGUAUACCCGAAUAAUAGUAAUAAUAUAUAUUAUAAAUUUUUUGUUUCAUAAUUCUUUUUUCAUUUUUGGACUUUCAAAUCAAAUUUUUGUUUUUUGGAUAUUUAUUUUAAAUAUUGGGUAUUUAUUGUUUGUCACAUACUUUCACGUAUAUUUUGAUUUUGUGUAUAUUUUGAUACUAACUUUUUAGUG